rnacentral:rRNA from 1 species
UACGUAGGAGACAAGCGUUGUCCGGAAUUACUGGGCGUAAAGCGUGCGUAGACGGUUAUGUAAGUCAGGUGUGAAAGCCCCGGGCUCAACCUGGGAAUGGCAUUUGAGACUGCAUAGCUAGGGUGCGGAAGAGGGAAGCGGAAUUUCCGGUGUAGCGGUGAAAUGCGCAGAUAUCAGGAGGAACACCGGUGGCGAAGGCGGAUCUCUGGGCCUGUCCUGACGCUGAGGCGCGAAAGCGUGGGGAGCGAACAGG